CCACAAGUAGCCAGAGGGCGAGCUGCUAAGUCCUCUGAGAAAAUAACAAGAAAUGUUUGGAAGCAUAAGAAGCUUGUGAGUUCUGGAGGCUGGGAAAUCCAAGAUGGAGGCACCCGUGGAUUCAGAGUCUGAAUCUGAGACUCCCAGGGAUUAAAUGAUUUGAUGGAAGAUUACCUAACUAGUAAGGAAAGGAACAAAGAUAUAAACAGGUCUGAUCCCAAAUCCUGUGCCAAUGAUAACAUCAAAGACUCAUCUUCGGCUGAGCUGCCCAAGUAAUGUUAUGUCAAGAAAUCAAUUCAAUGGGUUGUGACAGCAGUUUUUAAAAAUAGAACAGAAAAGACAAGACCACACUCACAGAAUAAGGCUGGAACCUGUAACAGAAACAAGUAGGCAUGUGUAACACGCAAAGAAUUGAUACUGCCACAGAAUUAGGUUAACACUUACAAAAUGGGGCACAGGGGGGAAAAGAUCCUACUGAAGUCAGUCAUUUACCUCGGUCUGGCUUCAUUUUCACAUCCAAUUUCCACCCAAGAUGCUGCGAAAUACACUUGUAGGUUCUUUCAACAGGCUCGCCGCGGACUCUGUGGCUACAGCUCAGUUUUCAAAAUGCUGAAAAGAGACCGAAAUAAAAUUAAGCUAGCCUGGCUCUGACACCCAAACCUUGCAAGAAAACUACUGUGAACAGGCCUCUUCCUGGCGCUAACUGCGGUGACAGCAACCAACGGCAGCUCUGAAGAAAGCAAAACUCUGUGCCCCGCCUGCCCCAUCUCCUCCGGACCCAGCACCCCUCUUCCCCGCCCGUGUGCUCUCCAGGCCAAAGUGUCCUUCCUUGACACAGCGUCUCUGAACCAAAAGAAAGAUCUAUUUAUAACCUGGAGGUACAGGCAAGAAAAAAAAAAUGGUCAAGCAACACAAGCUAACUAACCCC